AAUAGAUAUUUUUGUACAAUAUCCAUGGCUAAAACUGUCAGUGUGACAAUGCUUUUGACUACUGGGGGAAAGGAACCAUGGUCAUGGUCUCGUCAGCUCAACCAUCUCCACCAAAGUCAAUCUUCGCCAUGUCCCAGUGUACUCCUGAUUCUACUGGGUUCGUCACCAUCGGCUGCAUGGCAAGAGGUUUCUCACCUGCGGACUCGCUGACUUUUAAAUGGACGGAUUAUAAUACGAAGGAGUUGAGUGAUGUCGUGCAGUAUCCAGCAUUCGGGAGUGGUGAAGAAUAUACCAAAGUCAGCCAUGUGCGUAUCAGUAAAAGUAACUGGGAUCCUAAAAACCCUUACACAUGUAAAGCUUCAAAUUCUGAAGGCACCUCACUAGAGGUUAAAAUUGCUAAAGCUGAAGCUAAAGCUAAAGCUCCAGAUGGAGAGAAACCCACUGUUUUCAUUUACAGACCUGAUAAUAUUAACACAGAUCGGGUCUCUCAUGUGUGUGAGGUCACCAGCCCUAAACUCGGCAAUGUCAGUGUAAUGUGGAAAGUGGGUAAUGAGCCUUACAUAAAGGGCACAACCAGUGCUCCCAUCCGUCAAAACGACUCCACAUCUGUUCUCAGCAUCCUAACAAUGACCAAACAAGAGUAUGAAAAGCUCAGCACCAGCAUCACCUGUGCAGUAAGAUAUGGCAACAUGAAAGAUACAAAUGCUCCGUUACAAGUGUCAACAAGCAAAAGUGAGCCAACUGAACCAGAGACAGGCUUUGCUCUGGACUGUAAUAAAGAUGUUCUUGAGGAGGAUGAGUUCAGAAGUCUCUGGUCCACUGCCACCUCAUUCAUCUUCCUCUUCCUCUUCUCUCUGACCUACAGCGCUGUGCUCAGCUUCUUCAAGGUGAAGCAGUGAUGAUUUGUUAAAAGAACUUGUGAAGACCCCAAGGUUUCUUGUUUGUUUUGUGACUGUAAUUAAAUGUUAGUCUAAUGUAUUUAGAAAU